CUUGGCUCGCGCAACGAUGAAGGACGCAGCGAACUGCGAAACGCAAAUGUGAAAUUGCAGAAAUUCCAGUGAAAUCAUCAGAUUUCUAAACGCAAAUG
rnacentral:rRNA from 1 species